GCCUUUCAGAGGGGGACAACAGUUGGAAACGACUGCUAAUACCGCAUGACACAUAGGUGUCGCAUGGCACUUAUGUCAAAGAUUUAUCGAUGAAAGAUGGCCUCGGGUCUGAUUAGCUAGUUGGUGAGGUAACGGCCCACCAAGGCGACGAUCAGUAGCCGGACUGAGAGGUUGAACGGCCACAUUGGGACUGAGAUACGGCCCAGACUCCUACGGGAGGCAGCAGUGGGGAAUAUUGGGCAAUGGGCGCAAGCCUGACCCAGCAACGCCGCGUGAAGGAAGAAGGCUUUCGGGUUGUAAACUUCUUUUGUCAGGGACGAGUAGAAGACGGUACCUGACGAAUAAGCCACGGCUAACUACGUGCCAGCAGCCGCGGUAAUACGUAGGUGGCAAGCGUUGUCCGGAUUUACUGGGUGUAAAGGGCGUGUAGCCGGGAGGGCAUGUCAAAUGUGAAAUCCACGGGCUCAACUCGUGAACUGCAUUUGAAACUACU
rnacentral:rRNA from 1 species